GCGUUCAGGAUACGGAAUAGGUGGCCUUCUCCCGGCGGGGGCCGGAUACCCUGGCCACGUGCGUCCCCGAUUCAGCGGGUUCGCAAAGCCGACAGCCGUCGCACCCAGGGAGAAGCCCCAUG
rnacentral:sRNA from 1 species